UCCGGAGGGUGCAAGCGUUAUCCGGAAUUACUGGGUUUAAAGGGUGCGUAGGCGGUUUGAUAAGCCAGGGGUUAAAGCCUAUCGUUUAACGAUAGAAUUGCCUUUGAUACUGGAAAGGUUGAAAGGGGUUGAGGUCAGCAGAAUGUGGCAUGUAGCGGUGAAAGGCAUAGAUUUGCCAUAGAACAACGGUUGCGAAGGAAGCUGGCUGGGCCUUCUUUGACGCUGAGUCACGAACGCGUCAGGAGCGAACAGU
rnacentral:rRNA from 1 species